UGUGUGUUGAUGGAUGGAAACUCGGCA
rnacentral:piRNA from 1 species